CAAAAAAAAAAAAAAAAAAAAAAAAAAAGCAAUGUAUUAGAAAUAGAAGUACAUCAGAUUCUAAUGUCAGUUAUGCAGCCAAUGAUGAGACACUCUGGCAAAUAACCCUCUUGGUCUCAAUUUCUUCACCUGUAAAUAGAACGAGUACUAAAAAACCACCAGAGCCAGAGAAAUCCAAACUAUCAGGCAAAGGGAGGGGCCCACUGAGAACCAGCCCAGCAACCCGACCACAGCUGGUCUUCCCUGGAUACCAUGAACCACACUGUCCAAACCUCUUCACUCCCACCAUCAUCGGCCAUCCCCCUAACUAUGAGAUGCUCAAGGAGGAGCAAGAGGUGGCUGUGCUGGGGGUGCCCCACAACCAUGCUCCCCUGAUGUCCACCAUGAUGAUCUACAUCCACAGCGAGAACUCCAUGCCUGACCAUGUUGUCUGGUCCCUGUUCAACACCUACUUCAUGAACUCCUGCUGCCUGGGCUUCAUAGCACUGGUCUACUCUGUGAAGUCUAGGGACAGGAAAAUGGUUGGCGACCUGACCAGGGCCCAGGCCUACACCUCCACCGCCAAGUGCCUGAACAUCUGGGACCUGACUGUGCACAUCAUCAUGACCAUUCUGCUCAUCAUCAUCCUAGUGUUGAUCUUUCAUGUCUAUCAAUAGAUCAGGAGGCAUCAUCUAGGCCAGGAGCUCUGCCCAUGAUCUGAAUCCCACGUACUCCACCUUCCAUUCCUCGCCCUGCCCCCAAAGCCAAGUCCUGUAUCAGCCCUUUAUCCUCACACACUUUUCUACAAUGGCAUUCAAUAAAGUGCUCGUGUUUCUGGUU